AAUCUAGAACUCCCCUCCCUGAAGCGAAAGACUGCUACUGUUCAGACGACUCAGUAGGCCAUGACUACUAGCUCUCAUAAUCUCAGAAAUUCAAACCCCAAGAAAAAUACAUUGAAGAGAAGCUGCCAGCAUUUGGCUCAGACAUGCUUCACUAAGCUUCCAUCACAGGUUUCGAAAACCCGGGGCUCUGGGUUGCCUUUUUCCAUCGACAAUGAGAACAUUUGGUUCGUCUCCCAGCUGCUCUGUCCUGUGGUUCUGAGGAAUAAAAUGAGGGGAGAGGAUAUAAGGCUCUGCAGGUGCAGCAGCCAUUCCAUCCCUCAUGUGACUGACUUGGAAUUUGAUUUUCUCAUAAACAACCAGAUAUCCUGCCCAGAGCAAAUCACAGUGAUUUGUGUGUAUGACUCUUCUAUGGCGGAGGAUGGCACAUUGCGGGAGAUAGAAGAGUUGUAUGCCCACAAAAACAGAACGAGAAACAUGCCUUGCAUACAGAGCCGCCUGGAUCCCUUUCGGUUGCUCAAGUAUAAUAUCAGCAGUGCUGAUGAAUUCAAUGAUCGUGCUGGUUCCCUCUUGGUCUACCGCCACAAUGUUGCCCCAGGCAUGUUCUUGAUGUACAUCCAGGGAAAGCUGCUGUUUGCCAAUUAUGUGUUAAAUGGAUACAGUACAUCUGCUAAAGACCUCCAGAAGCAAAUUGUGAAGACCAAGAAUGAUUACCAGAUGGGUUACCAUCUCCCCAGUGACUUCAGAGUUAGGAAUCAAAAUCCAAACUGGACUGUUAAGGGACACUGGUAAGGUAGUCUAUAUUAUCUUAAUAACUAUACAACUGAAUUUGUAUAUGAUGAGAAAACUUCAACUUUGCUAUAUUGAGAUUAUUAUCAGAAGGGUGGUUUCCCAGGUGAUGAAGUUUUUCACCUAGAGCAACCAUCUAUGAAGACAAGAUCUACACGGGGGGAGACUCUACCCACAUCCAUGAAAUCACGAUGCUUUAAGAUUUGACCCUUAAGUAUUGAAGAAAAACAAUAAAGAAAAGACAAACUGGGAAGCUCAGUAAGCAAUAGCUUCGUUGCUACUGAAACAGAGAAGUGACGGGCUGCUAACAACCUGAGGGGAUCAAACCACCCAACAACUCAAGCUAAUGCAUUAUUUGAUAUCGCUCAUGAACUUCAGGCCCAGAUACACUGCACAGUUUGCUAGAGGAGUAACUGGGACAUCCAAGCCUCCUCUCUGAAGAAUCUGGUGUCUGCUUCAGAGUGAAAAUGCUGUGGGUUAAACUGUCAGUUCCAGUAUACAUGUCUGAAUGGUCUAGGUUUUAAUCACAGCAAAGAGAUCCUCCCAACAGAAAUCAAAACACAUUGGAAGGAAACACAAUAUACUUUUUCUGUACAAUAUGAUUUCACCUAUAAGAAACUCAAAUAUCUGACAACCUGGAAAAGCCAAGAUCCACAGUUAAAAAAAAACAACCACCCAACCUGGGCAGACAAAAUAAAUGUCACAAAAACUCAUUCGUGAACUUUACUCCAAGAAGGGGGCCGUAGUCACAUGACCUUUUUAUUUUUAUUUUAUACCCAACUCCACUGAACUUGGUUAUCACAUUAAAACUGAAGGGAGAAGAGGACAAUUAAAGAAUGGAAUACUGACAUUCACAAGAAAAGAAAUCAACAUUUUGGCAUCAGUGGACACAAAACUUAAACAAAACCCAGCAGAGUGAGGUCAUUUAAUGUAGGGUCAUCAAACAGUCCUAUCUACUUUAAUGGGCCCCAAGGUAAACAGUACAAUAAUUGAGAUAUAUAAUCAGAGAGGCAAUGUGGGAUAGGAGGGGGUUGGACUUGAGUUAGGGACUUGUGUUCAAUUCCAACAGUAGCUGUGAGACUCUGGCUGGGAAGGUCAUUUACCCUCAGUUUCCUCAUCUCUAAAAUGGGGAUAAUAACUAACUGUAGCACCUACUUCAGAGAGCUGUGAAGCUUGAAAGAGGUAAUAAAUGCAAAGUGCUCUGAAAACGUUAAAGGACUAUACAAAUAUCAAAUACUGAUAUUCAGCUAUAUAUGAGUAGGUAGGGAAGUAUGUAAUAUAUCUUAGAAAAAAUUUCCAUCUAAGAUGGUUAAAAAAAAUCUGCGAUUAAGGCAAACCCUCAGCUAUAGUGAAUAUCUGGCUGCCUAGAACGACUCAUUAUUUUAGGGUUCCCAUUAGACACGUAAUUCGCUGUAUAAUGCUCGCAUUUAUUUUUCCAAAUGGAUCGUCUGUCUGCGGACACUAAGUAGAGAUAGAAUGACUUACACAGUUAGAGGAGAAGUUUGUGGGUCUGCCUCGCUAAGAACAAAACGUCUGACAAGAAUGAAAUGUAUUUGGAUGUGUUUCUAAAAUACACAGUUCUAUGUACACAUAUUAUAUAAGGAAAUGUUGGAAAGCUGCUAGUUAAGAAUUUAUUUUUAAAGGUUCUGAGUUCUAGAACCUUGUUUUUACAUUGGCUUGGAAGUUUACAGAACUCCUUCCUUCACAAGUCGCUUGUCCAAAAGCAGGGAUAGUAAGAGAGCCUCUGAGCCUCUAGCACACAUUGUCUCUGUGCUCUAGGCAGGUCUGUAACAUCAUGAGAGGGUGCCCUCCUGCAUUGGUGGAGGGAAUUUCCUGACUCAGGAGUUCCCUAUGCCAAUGAAAUCAUACGCUUCGUCCCUAACCAUCUCCCUUAUCCAGAAAUCUCACCUGCCUGGAUCCCAAGAAAGAAUGAGAAAGUUAGCAAAGGGCUGGAAUACACAAAGCAGAUGGCAGGAAGGCCAAAAUCAAUGUAUGUAAGCUCACAUUCUCUAUUCAGUAGGACUCAUGUAUAGCAAAUUUAAUUUUUGUUUCAUACACAAACCCAACAAGGUCAGUUACGUGGCUUCUGGUUCUAGAGAAGAGCAAAAGCAGCAUACAAAGAUGGCGUGUGGGUGGACCCUGCUAGAAGCAAGCACCAACCAUGUGACAAGCCCCAGGAAGGGAGAGCUGAGAGCAGGUCAGGAGACAUCAAUAACUCCAAGAAGUAGACACAUGUCCUCAGAAAGCACAUGGGUCCUUUUGUGUCAGAGCAACAACAGGGCCUACCUUGUUAGCCUUCAACCCCAAAUCAUACCACGUUACAGUAACUGAUGCCCCAAGAGAUGGAUCAGAUAAAGAUUUAAUGAUGUUUGAGAAGAUGGGGACAUCUUAUGAAGGGUUAUCAAAAAUAGCUCAAAUGACAGAUUUGAUGCUUAAAAAGUCAACUGCCAAUUAUCUGAAAAUUUUCCUUAAACAUGGAUGACUUCAUUUUCCAAUGAUUAAGGAUGAACGAGGAAUUACUGCACUUAUGACAUAGAGAACAUAUGUAAUUUCCACAGAACCUGUGAGGCAUGGCUUCAUUUUAAUGAUGAAAUUAUUUUGUGGGCCACUACUGACUUAGACAAAUCUCAUCUGGCAUGGAAUUUAUGUGUAUACUUACAAAAGAAGUAAAUUAGAAAAACAAGCUGAUUUUCUAUGACUAGUUCUUGGUUGUCAUUCAUGGCAUUAGGUCUCUGUCUGAUUCAAAAAAAUGUGACUGCAUGUCAAAUUAAUGCAUCUUAUUUGUUUUUGUAGUUGCAGCAAUGAUGAUUUUAAAUGUUUUAGUUUAAUUAUUUCAACAAAGGUGGCCUGAAAUUGGAUUCAGAAGCUAUAUUUUUGUGACUAGUUCAUGUAAUUCCCUUUUCAUUAAGAGAUAAUUUACUUUUAAUUGUUUUAAAUACAAAGAAAUCAUUAUGAUUUAUGUUGGAGGCCUGUGUGUGUAUAGAUAUGUAAAUAUAUCUAUACACACAUAUAAUGUGUGUGUUUCUGAAAAUCAGUCCUUUUAGUCUAUAUCUGUAACUUCUGCAUGCUAGAUGUCAGUCACAGUCUUAAAGGUUCUAUUUCCUAUAAUUACAUUCUGUUGAAGUUAGACGCCAUAUACUAUCAUAACUCAAGUUUGAGAAAGAGAGUUUAACCAGGAAGAAUUUAUCCCAAUGUUGGAAAAUAGUAGAGACAUCAAGAAAAAUCCUUUUAUGGUAAUACCUCAAAUAUGUAAUUUUUAAGUGCCUAAAAGACUCAUUAGUAAUUUUUUGUUUCCUAUCACUGAAGACAUCAGACUGAGGUCCAAUGUUUAGUUCUUAUAGAAACAGUAAGAGAGGUAAUCAUUAACACAUAGGUUUAGUAACAUCUCAUUCUAGAAUUCCUACUUAAGAAAUAGUGACUAGUCAAAGAACAUAAGAUCAUAAACUCAGGGUCUAAGAAAAUCUAGCUAUGGGCAUGUAGGAAUUUAAAUAAAAACUGGACGAGCAAUAAACAGCAUGUUCACUGACUCCAGAGUCAUUCUUUUUUUCUUUUUUGGGCUAGGCAAUGGGGUUAAGUGACUUGCCCAGGGUCACACAGUAUUAUGUGUCUGAGGCCGGAUUUGAACUCAAGUCCUCUUGAAUCCAGCAGAUUCAUUCUUUAUAACGACUUUUUAAUUGUGGAAAAGCUAAUGAAAAUUUAGUGGGCGAGAAUGUUUUUGAAAUUGAGCAGAACAAGUUGUCUAAAUAAUUUUUCCAAUCAGAAUCACAUAAAUUAAAGGGAAGAGGACAGAUGCUAUCUUAUGUUCUUUGACAGUACAACCAUGGAUUGUGUGAUGGAAUGGAAAAAGUGGUGGCUCUGGAGUCCAGGGAGCUGGGUUCUAAAUCGGGCUCUGCCCCUUACUUUCUGGGUGAUCUUAGGCAAAUUACAUAACCGCUGUGGGCACCAGUGUCCUCAGCACCAAAAUGAGAGGGUUGGUUUAGAUGAGCUUGAAGAGUCCUUUCCAUCUGUAAAUCUAUGCUCCUUUGGUCUUAAGGGAUUUCUUUUGUAUGAGACUAGAAGAAAAGCUACCAUCCUUCUUGAUGGAUGUAGUAGUUACAUGACAGAUAAAAAGGUUUGCAAAUAAUUAGGAUGUGUACCUUUAGAGAAAAAUCCAAUUUAUUAAAAGAAUCAUUUAUAUUAAGACAAAGAUGCCACUGAUUCUAAUGGAGUCACUGUAUAAUCUAAACAUUUGCCCGUUUCAUUUACAGUUUGGUACAGACACAUUCCAUGGCCAAGAUUUAUCUUUAGUUUUAGGGACACUGAAGAAAUGCCAUGUCUAUAAAAACUGUUGGGAUGUCUUCUGUAGCAGAGGAAUCAUCUGGCCAAGCCAGGAUGGGUAGAAGUAUAAGUUUUCUUCCUUCUAUCCCCCUCUCUCAACCUAGGCAAAUAAUCACUGGAUAACGGAUGAUGAUCUAGUGUCCCUGCCCAACAAUUUUAGCAGCUGUAGUGGCUAAUGGACUGGCUGGGAACCAAAUAACAGAGAUAACCAGCCAAAAUAUUUCUGUCAUUCUCAUCUAUAUUGCCUAUGUAGGGGAUAUAU